rnacentral:rRNA from 1 species
UACGUAGGGUGCGAGCGUUAAUCGGAAUUACUGGGCGUAAAGUGUGCGCAGGCGGCUCUGCAAGUCGAGUGUGAAAUCCCCAGGCUUAACCUGGGAACUGCAUCCGAUACUGGAUGGCUUGAAUCCGGGAGAGGGAUGCGGAAUUCCAGGUGUAGCGGUGAAAUGCGUAGAUAUCUGGAGGAACACCGGUGGCGAAGGCGGCAUCCUGGACCGGCAUUGACGCUGAGGCGCGAAAGCCAGGGGAGCAAACGGG